UACGGGGGGAGCAAGCGUUGUUCGGAUUUACUGGGCGUAAAGGGCGCGUAGGCGGUAGCACAAGUCAGUUGUGAAAUCUCCGGGCUUAACUCGGAAAGGUCAACUGAUACUGUGCGACUAGAGUGCAGAAGGGGCAACUGGAAUUCUCGGUGUAGCGGUGAAAUGCGCAGAUAUCAGGAAGAACGCCUAUGGCGAAGGCAGCACUCUGGGACGGUACUGACGCUGAGACGCGAAAGCGUGGGGAGCGAACAGG
rnacentral:rRNA from 1 species